rnacentral:rRNA from 1 species
AGCGAACGUUAGCGGCGGGCUUAACACAUGCAAGUCGAGCGAGAAAGUGGCUUCGGCCAUCAGUAAAGCGGCGGACGGGUGAGUAACACGUAGGUAAUCUUCCCUUGAGCGGGGGACAACGUUUCGAAAGGAACGCUAAUACCGCAUACGUUUCCAGGAACUCUGGUUCUUGGAAGGAAAGCUAGGUCGCAAGAUCCGGCACUCGAGGAGGAGCCUGCGUCGCAUCAGCUAGUUGGUGGGGUAAUGGCCUACCAAGGCGAAGACGCGUAGCUGGUCUGAGAGGAUGAUCAGCCACACUGGGACUGAGACACGGCCCAGACUCCUACGGGUGGCUG